GCCAGCGUGGCGUAGUGGCUUGAACAUUGGACUAGGAGUCUGAAGUCCAGGGUUCGAUUUCCAGCUCAGCCA